rnacentral:rRNA from 1 species
AGUUUGAUCCUGGCUCAGGAUGAACGCUAGCGGCAGGCCUAACACAUGCAAGUCGAGGGGUAGAACACUUCGGUGUUUGAGACCGGCGCACGGGUGCGUAACGCGUAUGCAAUCUACCUUGUACAGGGGAAUAGCCCAGAGAAAUUUGGAUUAAUGCCCCAUAGUAUAUAACCUUCGCAUGUUGGUUAUAUUAAAGUUCCAACGGUACAAGAUGAGCAUGCGUCCCAUUAGUUAGUUGGUAAGGUAACGGCUUACCAAGACGAUGAUGGGUAGGGGUCCUGAGAGGGAGAUCCCCCACACUGGUACUGAGACACGGACCAGACUCCUACGGGAGGCAGCAGUGAGGAAUAUUGGUCAAUGGUCGCAAGACUGAACCAGCCAUGCCGCGUGCAGGAAGACGGUCCUAUGGAUUGUAAACUGCUUUUAUACAGGAAGAAACCCUCCCACGUGUGGGAGCUUGACGGUACUGUAGGAAUAAGGAUCGGCUAACUCCGUGCCAGCAGCCGCGGUAAUACGGAGGAUCCAAGCGUUAUCCGGAAUCAUUGGGUUUAAAGGGUCUGUAGGCGGUCUUAUAAGUCAGUGGUGAAAGCCCAUCGCUCAACGAUGGAACUGCCAUUGAUACUGUAAGACUUGAAUGCUUAGGAAGUAACUAGAAUAUGUAGUGUAGCGGUGAAAUGCUUAGAUAUUACAUGGAAUACCAAUUGCGAAGGCAGGUUACUACUAAGUGAUUGACCCUGAUGGACGAAAGCGUGGGGAGCGAACAGGAUUAGAUACCCUGGUAGUCC